GGUGUAAAGGCAGUCAAGUCCAGUGGCGUGGCGUGGUGGUGGCCAUCGGUACCCUGGGUGUCCAGUCAGAGCGUGGGAGAACGAAGACGAGGAGCGGCGGCGGCGGCGGCGCGGUCUCGUGCUUAGGAACGAGGCGGAGGGGAGGAGCCGCGCGAGGGAGCGGGGCUUCUGGGGGGCGAGGCGGCCGCGGCUGGAGUAGGCGCGGGAGUUGGAGGUGGGGCGCUGCGGAAGGGGGCGGCGGGGCCGCCGCGGCCGUAGCCGCCGUCGCUACGAGAGGGCCGGCCUUGGGAGUAGCUCUCCGACUAGGCGGAGCGCAGAGACCACCGGUCUCUGCUGCCGCCGCCGCCGUGCAGCCACUCGUUGGAGCCCGUGGUGCGGCCCAUGAUGGCGGAGGGGUGGUGAGUACUGCGGUCCGAGAAGAUGAAGAAGAAGCUUAGGUCCGUCGUGUUCUUCCUCCUGGGGCACCACUAGACCGACUGCCCUCCCGGGCCGACGUCGUCGCUCGAUCGGGAACGACAAUUAAAAAGUCCCAAAACGUUAACCAUUGCCUGAAUGUCUAGGUCGCUAUGUCAUGUUCCGUAUGUGGCUAAUACUUAACCUAUACCCAAAUUAGUGUGUCAGUCUUAAAUGGUUCUAAUUAUUUUAUCAAGGACGAACACUUAAACGACAGUUCGACACGCCAUUAAUAAGGACCUGAGUAACAAACGAACACACAUUAUUUAGACAUGGUAAGCAGUUAACCAGAGAACCUCUGACAGAAGUAAUUGUAGUAACGAAACAACACGGUUAAACAAGUACCUUCAUUCUUUUCCGUAUUCGGGUUGAGACUAUAUGGAGUGAACUAAAACAGAAAACAAAGUCCAUGGAGACCGUGACAUAGAACGAAACGACGGAUAAAACAAACGUUAUGUUAUAAGUCAAGGUAGUCCAACUAUUAGCCCUUGUUUUUAAUAAUACUGCAGUCCUUCGGUACGCACCCCUCGGAUACGAUACUAAAAAGAUUGAACCUCUUCAAAGAGUUAGACUUUAGACAGUCUGUCUCGGAUCCGCAACCUCUGUAUCUCAAACAAAGGACGUCGGGCUGGCAGAUAGUCCGAUACGAGAAUCUAACCUACUCCUUGGAACUUCAACCCUAGGGACUUGAGGAACUCUUGCUGUAGUUUCACGACUAAAUACGACCUCUCAUACUAGAGUAUACGUUGACCGAUCCUUUGAGUUCUACCCAUCUGAGAUACCUUACCAGACCUUUCUUUCGGAAGCACAGGAGCCACCUCUUUGGGAAGCGCCAACUACCUUUUCUUCGGCCGUAAGAUUUUUCGGUGCCGGGAAACUCAAAA
rnacentral:rRNA from 1 species